UACGAAGGGGGCUAGCGUUGCUCGGAAUCACUGGGCGUAAAGCGCACGUAGGCGGCUUCUUAAGUCAGGGGUGAAAUCCUGGAGCUCAACUCCAGAACUGCCUUUGAUACUGGGGAGCUCGAGUCCGGGAGAGGUGAGUGGAACUGCGAGUGUAGAGGUGAAAUUCGUAGAUAUUCGCAAGAACACCAGUGGCGAAGGCGGCUCACUGGCCCGGUACUGACGCUGAGGUGCGAAAGCGUGGGGAGCGAACAGG
rnacentral:rRNA from 1 species